rnacentral:rRNA from 1 species
AGUCGAGAAUCUUCCGCAAUGGACGAAAGUCUGACGGAGCGACGCCGCGUGCGGGAUGAAGGCCCUUGGGUUGUAAACCGCUUUCGGAGGGGAUGAAAUCCUCGAGGGUUCUCCCUCGAGGUUGACAGAGCCUCAAAAGAAGCACGGGCUAAGUACGUGCCAGCAGCCGCGGUAACACGUACUGUGCGAACGUUAUUCGGAAUCACUGGGCUUAAAGGGUGCGUAGGCGGCGAUUCAAGUCAGAUGUGAAAUGCCUGAGCUCAACUGAGGCAUUGCGUUUGAAACUGAAUUGCUAGAGUAUUUCAGGGGUGUGCGGAACUGCCAGUGGAGCGGUGAAAUGUGUUGAUAUUGGCAGGAACACCGGAGGCGAAAGCGGCACACUGGGGAAUAACUGACGCUGAGGCACGAAAGCCAGGGGAGCGAA